rnacentral:misc_RNA from 1 species
AACGAUUAACAACUUCAGCAUCUUUUGACACAGCAGUUUUAAGCAGAUCUUCUGAUGUAAGUUCCCAGCACUGUUCCUCUCGAGAGAGUUUCACAAAUUUUCCAGACAGAGGAAGACCUAUUAAUUCAUGGAGAGGGGAUGUAUUUGAGAGUGGAAGCAGCUCACCAAUGCAUCUACGGGACCAAGAUAUUGAUCAUCAUAGUCCAAGAAGGGAUGUAUCUGCUGGAGGCAGAGCAGCCCCCCGGAAAGAUUUAUCAGGUGCAGCUGGAUAUUUGGCUUCUGGGAAUUAUGCCAAAGGUGGGCGAGAAGGAUAUACAGAUGAAUUCAGCCAUCGGAAAGAGCAUAGGUGGAACGUUUCUAUGGAUGCUGAUCCAUACAUCAGGAACAGGGACAUGGACACAGAAUUUAAUGAUAAUCUUGCAGAUAGGUAUGGUGAUAUUGGUUGGGGGCAAGCUCGUUCUCGCAGCAAUGCUCGCUUCCCUUACCCGGAUCGGCUAUAUCAAAAUUCUGAAGCAGAUGAACCUUAUUCCUAUGGUAAGUCACGUUAUGCAGUGAGACAGCCACGGGUACUUCCUCCACCCUCACUCUCUACUAUGCAGAAAACUUUUAGGGGUAUGAAUGAUCAUCCUGGUUCAUCAAACUUUGUUGACAAUGAAAGCCAUUAUUCUCAUCCCCGGGGAGGUGAAUCUACAAGGCAGACGGGCUAUUUUGGUGGACAUCCAUCUGAACUGGUUGCUUCCCAGCAGGAGAACGCACUUGCAGAAGACGCAAAAUUGAAUAAAGAUGUGACCCCAAGAUGUGAUUCACAAUCUUCUCUAUCUGUCACAAGCCCCCCAA